GGGCCCGCACAAGCAGUGGAGCAUGUGGUUUAAUUCGAUGCAACGCGAAGAACCUUACCAGGGCUUGACAUACUACAAAUCUUUUAGAGAUAGAAGAGUGCUUUCGAGAAUGUAGAUACAGGUGGUGCAUGGCUGUCGUCAGCUCGUGUCGUGAGAUGUUGGGUUAAGUCCCGCAACGAGCGCAACCCUCGUUUUUAGUUGCCAAUUUAUUGGUUUUUUAGAAAGACUGCCGGUGACAAACCGGAGGAAGGUGAGGAUGACGUCAAGUCAGCAUGCCCCUUAUGUCCUGGGCUACACACGUGCUACAAUGAUGGGGACAAAGAGUUGCCAAUCUGCGAAGAUGAGCUAAUCUCGUAAACCCCAUCCAAGUUCGGAUUGUAGGCUGCAACUCGCCUACGUGAAGGCGGAAUCGCUAGUAAUCG
rnacentral:rRNA from 1 species